rnacentral:tRNA from 1 species
UGCCGGGUAGAUGAUUGGUAAGUCGCCGUAACUUUGAAUUAUGGAGAGGUUGGUUUGAGUCCAACUCCGGCAU